AUGCGAUAAGUAAUGUGAAUUGCAGAAUUCAGUGAAUCAUCGAAUCUUUGAACGCACCUUGCGCUCCUUGGUAUUCCUUGGAGCAUGCCUGUUUGAGUAUCAUGAAAUUCUCAAAGUAAACCUUUUGUUAAUUCAACUGGUCUUUGCUUUGGAUUUGGAGGCCUUUGCAGAUGUCACAGUCUGCUCCUCUUAAAUAAAUUAGCUGGAUCUCAGUAUACACUUGGUUCCACUCGGCGUGAUAAGUAUCACUCGCUGAGGACACUGUUAAAAAGGUGGCCAGGCAAUGCAGAUGAACCGCUUCUAAUAGUCCAUUGACUUGGACAAAUUAAAAAUUUAUGAUCUGAUCUCAAAUCAGGUAGGACUACCCGCUGAACUUAA
rnacentral:misc_RNA from 1 species